GGGCAAGUGGCGGAAUUGGUAGACGCACCACACUCAAAAUGUGGCGGCCCCGGUCAUGAGAGUUCGAGUCUCUCCUUGCCCA
rnacentral:tRNA from 2 species